CCUGUGAUCAUAUUUACGUGCGAACAGUGAUCGUAAAGUUGUUGGACUGUCACACGUUUCUGAGGAUUUCUUGGCAAAAGAAGCGAUACAGAGCAGUAUACCUAUCACCAACAGUCUCAAGAGAGUCUUAAAAUCACAGCGAAGUAUAUCUUCCUUGCCCAGCGUGAACAGAGAACUGUCACAGACUGUGAAACCAAACCAAAGAUCAGGGGACCAAGCAAGGACGUCAGCCAACAUGUUCCAGUUUGUGGUUGGAUUUGCCUCUGGAGCAGUAUUAGGGGUCUACAUAGCACAGAACUAUGAGGUUCCAGAUGUCUCCAAAAUAUUUGGGGAAGCCAAGAGCAAGAUUUCAACUCUGGAAAAGAAGAAGGAUGACUGACAACUCGUGAAGACCCUUCCCUCUGUAGUGUUGUAGUCAUGAAAACCUUAGCAGCCAAGCUUGGACCUGUGCCCCUACAUCACCCUCCCAUUGUAACAUUGUUGACAAAACAAUUUCAGACAAAUGUUAGACAUUGCAGGCUUGCAUUGGUACAUAUUGCAUUUUUGUCCGCAUAGUAACAAUGAACUUUGAAACUACUAGGGGGUAUAUAAGUUAGUCAUGAUCAUAAUAUUUGUGUAUAUGAAAAGAAAUGUGACACAUUGUCUUUGUAAAAAGUAUUUUGGUCAGAUUUGUUCUUAAGUUGCAAAUGACAGUUGUCAUGAUGUAGUCAGUGUUUAAGCAUGUCUGCUUUACAAUCUAAAAUUGUACUCGGAAGAAAAUGGUGCCCCACCCAAGCUGCUAUAAUGUAGUAAGGAGGUGAAAACAUGUUAGACUAAGUCUAUGGUGAAACUAGAGAAGCUGAAACCAGCUCAUAUAAUGUUACUUGUUUUGUACUUGGCAGCCAGGUCUUUUACACAAAGAAGUGAGAAGAGAAACUGAACAUCAAGGAAAUGUUUACAUCAAUAUUUAUUAGUAAAAGUUCAAUCGAUGUUGGUUUACCAGAUACCUUUGACCCAGUGUUGACGUCACACUUCAGAGAAGCCAUGUGACAAGUCUCACUGGGUCAGUCUACUGAGGAAAACCAGAGUGACUGGUUGAAAGAGGAAGUGAGAACUAUUUGUGGUGUUGGAAUAAAAGUUUUAACUUUAAACAUGUAACUACCAACACAGAUGAACUUUCAUGACAGUAUCAAGAUUUAUUGAGGAAGCAAUAUACUGAGGACAGCUGUUGUGCAUGAAAGAAAAUGAGACAUUAGCUUUAAUGAUGAUGAUGAUGUAGCCUGUGGUAUGCAAGGUAGCCGUGUUAAACUAAUUUGUACCCUCAGUCGGUUGGGCAAUUUGAGUUGCAGUAUGCAAUUUUGUCCAAAUUGUUCAUUUGCUGUGAUCAGUUGGUCUGUAAUGUCAGCUAUGUAUAGUGGGUUUAAGCUCUAAUAGAACAAUUGCUUGUGUUGGGUAUGACUUUUUCACAGUACAAAACAUUCUCGUAAUAUGAGAUGACAAUGUUUUGCAUUGUGAAAUCAUUUUUGAUCUUGUCCAUAGAGGUAAAAAAAUCACCUCCAUGAUCUAUCAAAUCUUCCCAUCGUCAUUCUGUGUAUAUGUUGCUGUUUAAGGUUGCUGUGGACUUUGGAGGCGGAAGGAACAAUACAAUGCAACUUUUGGGGAAGUGUUUUGGA